rnacentral:lncRNA from 1 species
GCCAGCCCCGCCGUGGCCGUGGCCGGCCCGUGGGGCGAGGACGGGUUCUUGCGAGGGCGAGGAGUGCGCCAGCCCGCAGCUCAGCCCCUCUCUUCUCCGCAGGAUGAUCACGGACGUGCAGCUCGCCAUCUUCGCCAACAUGCUGGGCGUGUCGCUCUUCUUGCUUGUCGUUCUCUAUCACUACGUGGCCGUCAACAAUCCCAAGAAGCAGGAAUGAAAGUGGCGCUUUCUCCGCCCCAGGGUUCCAGGACAUAGUCUGAGGCAAGAUGGAGGGUAUGAGGGGCCUUCACACUUCACUUCAUCCCUUCUACCCAUCACAACAUACAAAGCAACUACACCUGGAUUUUUCCAAACAACUUUUAUUUCCUCAGAGUCUUCCUUAAUCCUAUGGAACAAGAAGCUGCCACUGAAUAGGGCCCAGUAUAGGGGCUUGCUUUUCUACUCCCUCCCCCCAAUAUAAAAAUAUAGACUUUUUUUUGUGGUCCCAAAAUCUUGUGCUGCGGAGGGAGGGAAGGGGUGGCAGGUCCCUGUUUUGUUCUGUCUCAAGGUGAUACUCUGUAAUGCCUUGGACAGCGUGGCUGGCAUUCCAAGGACUUAACGGCUGUCACAUGGAAUCAGCGGCCUGGAGGGGAACUAGCAUAUUUCCCACUGUUACCCCAUCUUGGGGCUAUAUCCUGGGCUUGAACAUAAAGGCAUUAUCAGACCCGGGGAGAAACAGUCAGUGGGGGAGAUUUAGGGACAAAACAAACCUCAGGUUGGCCCAAGGGACCCCUGCUGUAACAAUUCCAGGAUGGGGAGUCAGAUAGACUACAGGAUAUAGGAGAAAAGGCAGGGGCAGAGCGGGGCCGUGGGGGCCUGGCCUGAGGCAGCCUGCAACAGAAAAGAGAGAGGAAUCAGGGCUGUGAAAACUCUGCUCCUCUUCUGUUCUGCUAACCAGGGGCUGGGAAGUGAAAGAAGUGGAGCGAGAUGAAGAUGGGUAAGGAUGGACAAGUUGGUUACUGCACAGUGGUUUGACGCUGGAACCAGCCAGCUCCUAGACCUUAGGCCCUGACUAAAAGUUGUUUUCUUUUGCUUUGGAUUGAAGACUUGGCCAUGGUGGGGGAAAAAAAAAUCAGGGACUAGAUUCUUAAUGAAAGUACAUUUAGUCUUUGUGCUCAAAAGGAGUAGGGAAGCAGAAAAUUAUUCUGAAUGACAGAAAUGGGAAUGAGGGGACAGAAGUGAGGGGUGGUGUGAGGGACUGGACCCAAGUGCUCACCCUGGUGUAGCAGAGCAGGAUCCCGGCUCCAGCUCACUGCUCUCCCUGGUCCGGGGGGUAGGGGAUGUGGGGCCUGAAGAGCCUUUCAUCCCUCUGCGAGUCGGCGGUGAGCCCUGGCCCAACCUGGGCCUAGCCUGUGUGGACAGGGUUUGCGCUAAGAGGCUGGAUUCUUCCAUGAGUUUUUUGCUUUUAGUUUGCUUCUAGAGUUUCCAUGCAUAAGAGUGUUGUAGUAUAGGGAUCAGUAGAGGUACUGGGACAUUGAAUUCUAGCUGAGAGGGUGAGGCAAGAUAAUAGCCAGAGAAGUCCUGGAUUCAGUCCAUGACUAUGCACUCCAAGUCUAUAACUAGGGGUGGCAAACGGAUCCAGCAUUUAACCGCCAUGGCUACACCAUGACUAAGGUCUGGGUGAGUAGAGAAACACUGUGUAGAAAGAUAGUGGAGGGUUGGUAGACCUCUCUCAGAGCCCUCUAUGCUUUAGCCCCUGCCAGAGCAGUGUACACUUCACCCAUCCAGUCAGCCUCUGCCUAUACUCAGCUUUACCUAGCAUGGGGAUCUGGACUGAAUCGGAGUUGGUGGCAGGGCUGUUCCUAGCAGCAGCAACCAAAUGUGUUACCUGGGGAAUCCGGGACCCCUCCUGGCGGAAACUCUCCUCGGACAGGUCUGGGCAGAAAGAGAGGAGAAGCUAAGGGCAGGGGCAGGGAAAGCCAAAGCUAGCAGGCUAAGGUUGGGGUAUAUCUGGCAGGGACACAGGUUGAAAGCAAGCAAAUGACCUGGCUGAUGGGGAUGGUGGAAGGCAGGAAGGGGACUGGACAGACAGGCACUCAGGCACCAGAGAAGCUCUCUGAUGUGGCCAAGGGUAGAUGCAGUGAAGCAGUGCUGAGCAUUUUCCCUCCCACUACCCAGAGGAACAGUGCCUUGCUGGGUUCUGCCAGAGUAGCUAUGCUGGAGACCCAAAAAUAUUACCUGCAAUCGAGUCUUGAUGCAGGGCAUCCGAGCUCCAGUCCCUAGCAGACCUUUCCCGAUUACCAUGACAGCCUCUGGUUUGUCUCCAGAGGACAAGAGUGAGCAACUGCUCCCUAGGGAACAGAGGAAACUGAUCAGGGUAGGGGUCACAGAGAAGAGGAGGUAACUUCCAAAGGAUCAGGGUUUCUUAACCUUGGCACGUUGACAAUUUGGGUUGGAUAAUUCUUUAUCGUGGGGAGUAGUCUUGUGCAUUGUAGGAUGUUUUGCAGCAUCCCUAGCCUCUAAACAAUUUAUGCUGUUUCCUCAUCUCCCUACUCCUCAGUGUAACAACCAAAAAUGUCUCCAGAUGUUGCCUGAUGUCACCUGGCAGCAAAAUCACCCCUGGUUGAGGCUCUAGUCUGGUGGUCCAAGGGGUGGAGCAGCAACUCCAGGCUAGAAUCGGAACGCACCCAAGCUUAACUCCUGUGUCAGUUUAUACUACCGCAAUCAUAUGUUUAGCAUUUGAGGAUCAAGUCAGCUCUACCCAGGACUGGUGGGUUCAGUGCUACCCAUUGAGGAGAGUUGACAGGUUGGGAGUAGGGGGUCUUUGAAUGAGGUAGAACAUGUUGGACUAGAGUCUUAAAAUCAUUCCCAUCCCUUUCUUUAUAUAGCUGGGUCUAUAAUUUAAAGGAGAAGAGAUGGCUUUGUGUGAAUGAUACGGCUACACACAGCAUUUAGCAGUGUUGACAGGAGAAAGUCCCGUCAUGCUUUUUUCAUUCUCCUGUUUUGUCUAGUGUUGCCCAGCUCCUGGAGUCAGGGAAUUUGUAUAAGUAGCAUUUUGCAGGUAGACAAAGUCUUCAGGUUCCUCAACUGAUAAAAUGAGAUUAAGUGUGCAGAGCAGUGCCUGGCACAUAGUAAAUGUUCAGUAAAUGUUAACUAUUGUUUUAUUAUACAGACACAUUAAUAAAUUCCAGCUUCCUAUACAAAGGCACCAGUGUUAGAGGUUUAGGAUACCAAGAGGAUAAGUGAUGCCCCUGGUCUCCCAACUAGGCUUAAAGAACCUGGCCUGGCCAUGGAGGAGGCUGGCAAACCCAGAUUUCAGUGGCAGCAGGUACAGACCUGGUAUGUUGAACGAAUCAGGCAGUAGACAGGAGCCCAGCUUGUGUGAGGAGGCUGGGCCAGAACUAGUAGGAGCUGGGGAUGGAGCGAGGCUGCCUGCAGGACGAUGGUUCAGGGGCUGCUGCCGCCGUCUCCUGUCCUGGCUUCGGGGCUCUGAGUGGAAGAGAUACAAGCAGAUAAAAGGGCAAAUAAGUGGGGCACUAUGAGGCAGCCUUCACUGACCUGCUGGCUUCCGUGGUCAAAAGAUGCCAGUUUUCAAGCUUGUCAUCAGACCCACAUCCCUCUCCUGAAGUAACUAUUAAUAUAAGAUGUGCAGAAAGACCUACUAUUUAUUACAGUUAUCCAUUCUCCACCAGCCUUCAUCCUGCUAGUUUUUUUUUUUUUUUUUUUUUUAAAGGUUUCCACUCUGUCAUCCAGGCUGAAGAAGUGCACAAUGGCACGAUCAUGGCUCACCGAGCCUCAGCCUCCUAGGCUCAGGUGAUCCUCCCACCUAGCCUCCUGAGCAGCUGGCACUAUAGGUGCCCGCCACCAUGCUCAGCUAAUUUUUUGUUUUGUUUUGUUUUUGAGACAGAGUCUCGCUUUGUCGCCCAGGCUGAAGUGUGGUGGUGCGAUCUUGGUUCACUGCAACCUCCGCCUCCCGGGUUCAAGCGAUUCUCCUGCCUCAGCCUCCAGAGUAGCUGGGAUUACAGGCGCAUGCCACCAUGCCUGGCUAAUUUUUGUAUUUUUAGUAGAGACAGGGUUUCACCAUGUUGGUCAGGGUGGUCUCGAACCCCUGACCUUCUGAUCCACCCGCCUUGGCUUCCCACAGUGCUGGGAUUACAGAUAGGUGUGAGCCACCGCACCCAGCCUAAAUUUUGUAUUUUUAGUAGAGACGGGGUUUUGCCAUGUUGCCCAGGCUGGUCUUGAACUCCUAGGCUCAAGAGAUCCACCCACCUCCGCCUCCCAAAGUGUUGGGAUUACAGGUAUGAGCCACCGCACCUGGCCAGUUUAUUCUUUUGGCAAAGAAGUUACUGAGCUUGGCUAACACAGCUUUCCUUGGUUCCCCUCUUACCACUGAUUGCUUCUCUUCCAGCUGUUCUUCCUGCCCCUUAAAUGUCAAGUCUUCCCCACCAUUCUGUCCUUGGGCCUCUCCUGCUCUACUUACUCUUAAACUCCCAAAUCACUCUGUAGCCCUUUUCUCCUGAAAUCCAGCUCUAAUUGUCCACUGGAGAUUUUUUUCCCAAGAAAGUCCCCUUGACAAAACAAAACUCAUUCUCUCCCUUUCUUUCAUUCUUCCUGUCUUCGUGCAAAACCCAACUGCUAGAAACCUUGUUUCAUCUUUCUACUGCUCCUCUCUUAGAUUUGCAUUUGUGUAAUCAAAUCCUACAAUUCUAUCUCUGCAUUCACCUAAGGUUUUUUUUUUUCUUUUUUUUUUUUUUUUUUUGGAGACAGGGUCUCACUCUGUCACCUAGGCUGUAGUGCAGUGGCAUGAACAUGGCUCACUGCAAACUUGACCUCCUGCAUCCCAAGUAGCUGGGACAACAGGCACACGCCACCAAGCCCAGCUAAUUUUUAAAUUUUUUGUGGAGAUGGAGUCUCACCAUGUUGCCCAGGGUGGUCUGGAACUCAUGGGCUCAAGCGAUCCUCCUGCUUCAGUUCCCAAAGUGCUGGGAUUACAGGUGUGAGCCAUUGCACUGGGCUUGAAGAUCUAAAGGAUGAAGUCUAAACUUUUGAACACUACACAUUCAAAGCCUUGCCCACUAUAGUUCCAGUCUGCACAUCCCUAGUAGGAUGCUGAUUUGAUCCUUCAUACCCUCUGCUAUACACCCCAUGGCUACUAGUUGUGUGUGGUUCCUCUGGAACUGUUUCCUUUUCUAGUGAAACCAUGACCAUCUUUCAUGUCCCAUCUCAAAUGUUACCUCUCUUACUUGAAGCUUACUUGACCAUUACAGGCAACAUUAAUUGUUCUCUCCUCAUUACCUUCAUCCUUUGUUUGUGUGGCUAGUAGUUUAUGGUUUCUGUUUAAUUAAGUUAGUAUGUGUAAAGUACUUAAAGGCACAUACUACUCAAUAAACAUAAGCUAAUAUUUUUUCUAACUGGAACUUGAGUUUCUUGGGAGUAGGGACUUUGUUGCCUCCAACACUAUAUAUCCCAGUGCCUGUAAAAUGCUGCCUGAAAAACCAGAGACCUUAAUCAAUGUUUUGUUUACUUGAACAGCAGACACCAUGAGCUGGAUCAAUCAUCUGUGGGAGUCUAAAGGCAUACAGUUAUAUCCUUUGGGGCAGCUGUCUCUGG